GCAGGGACUAUUUGUCCAGUCAUUGGGGGUUAUCAUAUAGCCCUUGUGAGCUGGGAGGAGCUCUGGGCCAUAGGAAACAGCCAGAAGAAUGAAAGUACCUUGGGGCAGCUGUGGUUUCACCUCUGUACAGUGAGAAGAACUUUAAGAGGAACUACACCUGAAGACAGUUUUUUAGUCCUUGUUCACCAAUGGAUUGCUGAGGAUCUGAGUUGUGGGUUACCUGCAUGACUUUGAUAAUAUCACCUCUAUUCUUUCCUCCAAUGUUUUUCACCUAAAAAAUGAGUAUUACCUCUCCACAGACUUGAGCACUAUAAGAAUAUAUUGACUUACACCUUGAAGC